rnacentral:rRNA from 1 species
AGUGAACGCUGGCGGUAGGCCUAACACAUGCCAGUCGAACGGCAGCACAGUAAGAGCUUGCUCUUACGGGUGGCGAGUGGCGGACGGGUGAGGAAUACAUCGGAAUCUACUUUUUCGUGGGGGAUAACGUAGGGAAACUUACGCUAAUACCGCAUACGACCUACGGGUGAAAGCAGGGGAUCUUCGGACCUUGCGCGAUUGAAUGAGCCGAUGUCGGAUUAGCUAGUUGGCGGGGUAAGGGCCCACCAAGGCGACGAUCCGUAGCUGGUCUGAGAGGAUGAUCAGCCACACUGGAACUGAGACACGGUCCAGACUCCUACGGGAGGCAGCAGUGGGGAAUAUGGGACAAUGGGCGCAAGCCUGAUCCAGCCAUACCGCGUGGGUGAAGAAGGCCUUCGGGUUGUAAAGCCCUUUUGUUGGGAAAGAAAAGCAGCAGGUUAAUACCCCGCUGUUCUGACGGUACCCAAAGAAUAAGCACCGGCUAACCUCGUG